GGGCGUAUAGCUCAGUUGGUUAGAGCGCGUCCCUGAUAAGGACGAGGUCCUUGGUUCAAAUCCAAGUACGCCCACCA
rnacentral:tRNA from 4 species